rnacentral:rRNA from 1 species
AUUGAACGCUGGCGGCAUGCUUUACACAUGCGAGUCGAACGGUAACAGGUUAAGCUGACGAGUGGCGAACGGGUGAGUAAUGCAUCGGAACGUGCCCGAUCGUGGGGGAUAACGCAGCGAAAGCUGCGCUAAUACCGCAUACGAUCUGAGGAUGAAAGCGGGGGACCGUAAGGCCUCGCGCGAUCGGAGCGGCCGAUGUCAGAUUAGGUCGUUGGUGGGGUAAAGGCUAACCAAGCCAACGAUCUGUAGCUGGUCUGAGAGGACGACCAGCCACACUGGGACUGAGACACGGCCCAGACUCCUACGGGAGGCAGCAGUGGGGAAUUUUGGACAAUGGGCGAAAGCCUGAUCCAGCAAUGCCGCGUGCAGGAAGAAGGCCUUCGGGUUGUAAACUGCUUUUGUACGGAGCGAAAAGGUUCUCUCUAAUACAGAGGGCUCAUGACGGUACCGUAAGAAUAAGCACCGGCUAACUACGUGCCAGCAGCCGCAGUAA